GACGAAAUGGGGCAACCGUCGACGCAGGCACUGCAGUGAAGUCAGAGGAGCAGCUCCGCAAUGAGAUCGAUGAGCUUCUCCGCCAACAGCGCGAGAUUACGGAGCGGCUUCAUGAUCCUUGAGGCCUUCGAAGGGGCCCCUUCUCAGCUCCUCGCCGACAACCCUUUUCCUCCCCAAUGCCAAAACUAAUCUGAUGGUGGCAAGCUUGACAACAGGGGUCCUUUCUUUGUCAAUGGACUUCCUUUUGGAGCCAUGGACGCAAUAAAAGAUGCAUACGGAGCUACUGUACAAAUUAAAGAUCUUCCAAGGGAUGGGCUUAACCUAACAUUGAAAAUAAAUCUGUCAAAGCUUCCUGCAAAUCAAGAUCAAAGGCAAUCCUUUUUGGUGAAAAUUGCAUCAGUAAGGGAGGUUGUCCUUGGUGCACCAUUGAGAGUAAUUUUAAAACAUCUUGCUUCAAGAACUGUUGCUCCAGACAUUGAUCCGCUUGUCGCC